GCUGCGCGCAGCUCUUGUUGUUGGUCCCAUGUAAUGAAAACGGAUUAGUGCGUUUCCCCGCGGUUGAUUUUUGGAAGCGUUUCUCUUUUGCAAGCAAUACACGCCAGUCCCGAGAACUUUUAUUCACGAGCAGAUUUCACGCGAGAACGAAGAGUUGGAAGUUGCUGCUUUACGGAACUGUAGGCAUGAAAGAUGUUUUCUAAAUCUCAUGGGAUGAAACAAUCGGGUUUCAAGAAAGCCGACGGAUUACUACAUGGAAAAAUCAUCUAAUUUUAAGGUUCUCUAUUAUGGGAUGAUUCUGCCAUAGAAGCUUCCAGCGACAGUGCUUUAAUCUGUCCUCAGUACUACAAAAUAAUGAGCUGAUAUAUCCUG